UACGUAGGGCGCAAGCGUUGUCCGGAAUUAUUGGGCGUAAAGAGCUCGUAGGUGGUUUGUUACGUCUGCUGUGAAAACCUAGGGCUUAACCCUGGGCCUGCAGUGGAUACGGGCAGACUAGAGGUAGGUAGGGGAGAAUGGAAUUCCCGGUGUAGCGGUGAAAUGCGCAGAUAUCAGGAGGAACACCGAUGGCGAAGGCAGGUCUCUGGGCAGUAACUGACGCUGAGGAGCGAAAGCGUGGGGAGCGAACAGG
rnacentral:rRNA from 1 species